UGUUCCUCCAUUUCUCUCUGCCUUCUCUCUACAAUUCCCUCAUGUUUAGUGGUUGCAUGUUGGAUUAGGUGGUGCUCAAGUGACCGCAGCGUAGAGGCCUUUGCAACCAUCCAAAUAGAUUUUCAUUCUUCAGUGGGGUGAUGUCUAGAUUAUUCGCGUGUGGGGUACUAGAGCUACGGGUCUUUGAGCUGAACAAAGAAGUUUCAAGAGAUGGAUGAGGUGCUUUUAGAGCAGGCUUUGGAGGAAGAUGAUGCUGCUGCUUAGUCUCCUUAAAAUGUGCAUACAG